GUCGAGCGAGCUUGCCUAUUGAAAUUCUUCGGAAUGGACAUAGAUACAAGCUAGCGGCGGAUGGGUGAGUAACGCGUGGGUAACCUGCCCUUAAGUCUGGGAUACCAUUUGGAAACAGAUGCUAAUACCGGAUAAAAGCUACUUUCGCAUGAAAGAAGUUUAAAAGGCGGCGUAAGCUGUCGCUAAAGGAUGGACCUGCGAUGCAUUAGCUAGUUGGUAAGGUAACGGCUUACCAAGGCGAUGAUGCAUAGCCGAGUUGAGAGACUGAUCGGCCACAUUGGGACUGAGACACGGCCCAAACUCCUACGGGAGGCAGCAGUAGGGAAUCUUCCACAAUGGACGCAAGUCUGAUGGAGCAACGCCGCGUGAGUGAAGAAGGUUUUCGGAUCGUAAAGCUCUGUUGUUGGUGAAGAAGGAUAGAGGUAGUAACUGGCCUUUAUUUGACGGUAAUCAACCAGAAAGUCACGGCUAACUACGUGCCAGCAGCCGCGGUAAUACGUAGGUGGCAAGCGUUGUCCGGAUUUAUUGGGCGUAAAGCGAGCGCAGGCGGAUUGAUAAGUCUGAUGUGAAAGCCUUCGG
rnacentral:rRNA from 1 species